GACCACGUAGCUCAGUUGGAAGAGCAUUGGGCUAGUAUUCCAAAGGUCGUAGGUUCGAAUACCACCGUGGCCG
rnacentral:tRNA from 1 species